UACACUGAAAGUGUUGUUUUUUUCAUCUCGAAAAUGUAUACAAAUUAUUAUUUUUAAGUUUUAGUUGCAAUGCAAAAAAAAAUACAACGGACCAAGGCAUUAACAAGGCAUUCUGCAUUAUAAGAUUAUCAGCUAUACAGGUAUGUUUCCAAAACCGUACCCCCAAGUAAUGCUUAAAGUUCAGUCCAACGUCCCCUGGCCAAAAGAUAACAGUACACCCAAGGGCAGAAGACAGCGCCUAUGAAUGGACUACCCGCGCGACCCAACUGGAAAUCACAAUUUGGGAACCACUAGGCUACUUACUACUUUAGGGUCGGCGAUGCCGUGAUGGUUUCAGGAGGCAUGGUCUCGAUGGUGUUGACAACAUGAUUCUGCUGCGAGGAUAUCAUCUCUGAACUAAACAUUUAACGACCAGAAACCAGGUUGCAUUCUGCUCCGUGCAAGGAGAGGAG